GACGGUAGUCGUAUGCUCGUCUCCGAGACUAAGCCAUGCAAGUCCAAGUACACGUCCUUGAACGACGGAAACUGCGAACGGCUCAUUAAAUCAGUUGCGAUCUACUCGGCGUUCCGCGCCGCCGGAUAACCGUAGUAAUUCUAGGGCUAAUACGUGCGAAGCGCCCGAAGCCGCGAGGCGACGGGCGUUCUCGCCGGAUGUAGGAACCGACCCCGGGGGACCCGCCGGGGCAACCCCGGCGCCCCCGAGACGGGGCGAACCACGGUGAAAUGACGGAUCGUCGGCCCCGCGCCGGCGACUCGCCGAAUGAGUUUCUGACCUAUCAACUCGAGACGGCGGGGUAGAGGCCCGCCGCGGUAACGACGGGUAACGGGGAAUCAGGGUUCGAUUCCGGAGAGGGAGCCCGAGAAACGGCUACCACUUCCAAGGAAGGCAGCAGGCGCGCAACUUACCCUAAUCUCGAUUCGAGGAGGU
rnacentral:rRNA from 1 species